CAAUAGCGUAUAUUAAAGUUGUUGCGGUUAAAAAGCUCGUAGUUGGAGUUCUGCCAGGUGCCGCCUGUCCGCCCCAGUGGUGAGUACGUGGCGCGCAUUUGGCCCUUUCAAGGGGAGCGUAUCUGCACUUUAUUGUGUGGUGCGGGAUCCUUGACUUUUACUUUGAGGAAAUAGGAGUGUUCCAAGCAGGCUCUCGUCGUGCACAGCUCAGCAUGGAAUAAUAGCAUUGGACCUCGAUUCUAAGCUGUUGGUUGCCAGAAGCGAGGUAAUGAUGAAGAGGGAUAGUUGGGGGCAUUCGUAUUUAACUGUCAGAGGUGAAACUCUUGGAUUUGUUAAAGACGGACUACUGCGAAAGCAUCUGCCAUGGAUGUUUUCAUUGA
rnacentral:rRNA from 1 species